UUAAAGAUAUUCUUUCAAAUUUGGAGAACUUAAUAGUCUUCAAAGUGUUACCAUCAGAAUAGGUAAACCAUGCAUGGUUACUUCAGAGUGAUCUGACAGUUUUUAACUCAGCCUCUCACCUUUUCUCCACUCCAAUCAUGACACAAGAGAAUUAACUGACUGUUACAAGUUGAAGGGAAGGAAAGCAGUGCUGUGCUUGUGCCUUUCCUCUAAGGGAAUGUGCAGAACUUACCAUUUGUGGUCUGUGGUGUCCUAACCCCAUGCAGUGAGUCUUAUGCAGUGCUUCCUCUACCCACAACCUCUAUUUUCCUGUCUCCCUGUCUUGUGACUCUGGAAGUUCUGAUAUAAUUUUUGUGAAAUUAGAGAUGUUUUUUCCUUGUUGCAUGAAUUUAAUUUAUUAUUUGCUGUACCUGU
rnacentral:lncRNA from 1 species